rnacentral:rRNA from 1 species
GUGGGGAAUAUUGGACAAUGGGCGCAAGCCUGAUCCAGCCAUGCCGCGUGUGUGAAGAAGGCCUUCGGGUUGUAAAGCACUUUUGUACGGGAAGAAAAGCGCCGAUUUAAUACAUGGGCGUCAUGACGGUACCGUAAGAAUAAGCACCGGCUAACUUCGUGCCAGCAGCCGCGGUAAUACGAAGGGUGCAAGCGUUACUCGGAAUUACUGGGCGUAAAGCGUGCGUAGGUGGUUUGUUAAGUCUGAUGUGAAAGCCCUGGGCUCAACCUGGGAACUGCAUUGGAAACUGGCUGACUAGAGUGCGGUAGAGGGUAGCGGAAUUCCCGGUGUAGCAGUGAAAUGCGUAGAUAUCGGGAGGAACAUCCGUGGCGAAGGCGGCUACCUGGACCAGCACUGACACUGAGGCACGAAAGCGUGGGGAGCAAACAGGAUUAGAAACCCCAGUAGUCC